UGCGUAGGGUGCAAGCGUUAAUCGGAAUUACUGGGCGUAAAGCGUGCGCAGGCGGCUUUGCAAGACAGAUGUGAAAUCCCCGGGCUUAACCUGGGAACUGCAUUUGUGACUGCAAGGCUGGAGUACGGCAGAGGGGGAUGGAAUUCCGCGUGUAGCAGUGAAAUGCGUAGAUAUGCGGAGGAACACCGAUGGCGAAGGCAAUCCCCUGGGCCUGUACUGACGCUCAUGCACGAAAGCGUGGGGAGCAAACAGG
rnacentral:rRNA from 1 species